AUGUAUGAAACACAAGUUCUUUCUCUCAAGAACACGUCUUUUUUAGAUCGUAUUUGCUUCAUUCUGAAUAAUUUAGAUUUUGUAUGGUUCAUUUUAUGUUUCUUAAGUCUUAUCUUUCUUCGAUGCAUAUGUGAAUGCGAAAUGGAUUUGACUGGGAGAUGGUAGGGAGAGAUCCAGCCGAAAAGAGGAAGAGAGUGCUAAAAUGGAGAUUGGAUUUGAAGAGAGAGUGGGAGAGUGGAGGUAGGACGUAAGAGGCGUGCAUAGUGAUGAGAGAAUAAACUAGAUAAUAGAAUUUGAUGCCACAUCUUUUAUCGCAAAUAGAUAUGAAUAAUUCUUCUUGCAAUUCACAAAUGUGGACUAUUGAUAAAACGAAGCGUUUCAUUGGACGUAAAAUCACAGAGCAGCAAGUGAAAUCCAAGAGUAGUGAAGGAAGUGAAAUCCCUUCCUCAAUGAACUCUCCCUUGCCCUCGGGCCCAUUGCCGUUGUCGUCGCCGUCUCCAUCGCCUGUGCAGCUCCAUCCCCUUCGUUGGUUUCAAGUUCUCUUCUAUUCUAUUUUUCCAUAUAGAUGGAAGCGCUUCUUCAGACUUCAAGAGAUGGUAUUUUAGUGUGUUGUUGUUUGAAAUAUAUUUAGAAGUGUAAAUGAUGGAGGAUGCCGACGAUGGAAAGUGGUGAAGACGAUUGCCAACAAUGGAAAGUGGAGGAGGUCCCAAAUGAACGCCACGAGGGAGAGGAAAAUCAAAGUCCAAAGAUGGUGGAGGACCCAGAUGCACAGCACGAGAGAGAAGAAGAUCAGAAAUUUUGGGCUAUUUUUUAUUUGGAAAUAAGGGCAUUUUAGUCAAGUAAAUUAUAAAAUGAGAAAAAUUUUUGUCUAUUACUUUUUGUGGAUUGCAAAGGAGUCCAUUUUAGUGGACUAUACGUAACGUGACCCAAUAGAUAUAUGUUGGUUGCAAGUAUUAUUUA